rnacentral:misc_RNA from 1 species
UUUCCGUAGGUGAACCUGCGGAAGGAUUAUUACUGAGUGAGGGCCCCUCGGGGUCCAACCUCCCACCCGUGUUUAACGAACCUUGUUGCUUCGGCGGGCCCGCCUCACGGCCGCCGGGGGGCAUUUGCCCCCGGGCCCGCGCCCGCCGAAGCCACCUGUGAACGCUGUCUGAAGUAUGCAGUCUGAGACAAUUAUUAAAUUAAUUAAAACUUUCAACAACGGAUCUCUUGGUUCCG